CUACGUGCCAGCAGCCGCGGUAAUACGGAAGGUCCAGGCGUUAUCCGGAUUUAUUGGGUUUAAAGGGAGCGUAGGCUGGAGAUUAAGUGUGUUGUGAAAUGUAGACGCUCAACGUCUGACUUGCAGCGCAUACUGGUUUCCUUGAGUACGCACAACGUUGGCGGAAUUCGUCGUGUAGCGGUGAAAUGCUUAGAUAUGACGAAGAACUCCGAUUGCGAAGGCAGCUGACGGGAGCGCAACUGACGCUUAAGCUCGAAGGUGCGGGUAUCAAACAGGAUUAGAUACCCUGGUAGUCCGCACAGUAAACGAUGGAUGCCCGCUGUUGGUACCUGGUAUCAGCGGCUAAGCGAAAGCAUUAAGCAUCCCACCUGGGGAGUACGCCGGCAACGGUGAAACUCAAAGGAAUUGACGGGGGCCCGCACAAGCGGAGGAACAUGUGGUUUAAUUCGAUGAUACGCGAGGAACCUUACCCGGGCU
rnacentral:rRNA from 1 species